ACGAUGCUAUGAAGAGAGGAUGGGUAGGAGUUUAGGCAAUUUCGAGGAAUAUUUGGCUCAACAAGUCUGGGAAGCAACUGGUUCAAUGGCUAGUUGAGGAAAUCGAGAAGUUACAUGAAAAGCAAGUUGAUUUACAGAGUACAGAGCUGAAGAAAGGAUCAGUACUUGAAGUUUCUGGUGUCACUGCUUCGUAGGUCGAUGUGGAGGUUUCAUUUGCCUUGUCAACAUUGGAGAAAGCUGAGCAUAUGGACCCAAUUUGGAAUAAUCCACAACUACUUUGUAGUCAAAAGGGGGCUUCUGUUAAAGGAAGUAUAGGACCAUUUGGAUUGCUAGUUUUGGCUUCUGAAGGCUUGGAAGAACAAACAUCCAUAUUUUUCAGGGUAUUCAAAGACCAGGAGAGAUAUGUGGUCCUCAUGUGCAGUGACCAAAGCAGGUCUUCUUUGAGGAAAGAUAAUGUGGAUAAAACCACCUAUGGAGCUAUUCUAGAUGUGGAUCCUCGGCAUGAAGAACUAUCACUGAGGAGCUUGAUAGAUCAUUCCAUCGUCGAGAGUUUUGGUGGCAAAGGAAAAGUUUGUAUCACAUAGGGUUUAUCCAGAAAAGGCUCAAUAUGACAAAGCACACCUAUAUGUAUUUAACAAUGGAACGGAGAAUAUAAGAAUCUCAAAGUUAAAAGCUUGGAGCAUGAAAAAAGCUCAAAUCAUUUAUUAAAA